rnacentral:rRNA from 1 species
AUUGAACGCUGGCGGCAGGCCUAACACAUGCAAGUCGAGCGGAUGAAGGGAGCUUGCUCCUGGAUUCAGCGGCGGACGGGUGAGUAAUGCCUAGGAAUCUGCCUGGUAGUGGGGGAUAACGUCCGGAAACGGGCGCUAAUACCGCAUACGUCCUGAGGGAGAAAAUGGGGGAUCUUCGGACCUCACGCUAUCAGAUGAGCCUAGGUCGGAUUAGCUAGUUGGUGGGGUAAAGGCCUACCAAGGCGACGAUCCGUAACUGGUCUGAGAGGAUGAUCAGUCACACUGGAACUGAGACACGGUCCAGACUCCUACGGGAGGAAGCAGUGGGGAAUAUUGGACAAUGGGCGAAAGCCUGAUCCAGCCAUGCCGCGUGUGUGAAGAAGGUCUUCGGAUUGUAAAGCACUUUAAGUUGGGAGGAAGGGCAGUAAGUUAAUACCUUGCUGUUUUGACGUUACCAACAGAAUAAGCACCGGCUAACUUCGUG